rnacentral:misc_RNA from 1 species
UCCGAGUUGACCCCGGCAGUCUCCUGUGAGUCCCCACCACCCCGAAGGGCGUGCUGGCAACACAGAACAAGGGUUGCGCUCGUUGCGGGACUUAACCCAACAUCUCACGACACGAGCUGACGACAGCCAUGCACCACCUGUAUACCGACCACAAGGGGGGCCGUAUCUCUACGGCUUUCCGGUAUAUGUCAAACCCAGGUAAGGUGGGGAUGACUUAGGAGCUCGAC